rnacentral:lncRNA from 1 species
AUUCUUCAUUAAAGUUAUGAGAGGUUACAUCAUUAUGAAGAGAAACAAAAGCGAUAACAUCUUGUUCUCCCGGCCACCUAGUAAACAAGAAUUUAUGGUUACUCAUAAGUAGAUUAGAUAUUAAUGGUUGGCAUUAAAACAUUACAAGCACCGGAUUGCUAGUAUCGUGUUAGUGAUGGGGCUAGCUAAAAUCGGAGGAAAUCCCAUAGCUCCUGGCAGAGGAGCUAGCUAAAUAUCUCUCUCUCUCUCAUUGAGUCAAUACCGCUAGCUCCCAUCCAUCUGUCCUCCUUCCCCCAACGACGCUCCGACCAAAUCACAGCCAUCUCUCCCCGAGUCAAAAUUUGCAGCCCUCCAAGCGCCCAAACCCACAAAGCCCAUUCUUUAAAGCAAAGGAAUGGUCGUAAAUAAAAUGAAAUUCGGACCUAAACACUGUUCAUUUGAACAGUGUAAUUUAGGAUCCUUCUGUAGACUAAGGUAAUGACGCUAACAGUUUUGCAUGCAGGGCGCAUAGUUUAAUAAAUUAACUAAUUAUUAUUCAUUUCAAAAAUUCUCUCUGAACCAGCUAAUUAAUCAAAUAGUUAAGAACGAUUAUGUUUGUUAAAUUCUUUUGCUUUUAAGACUUAAGCCCUUCUACAAUCUCACAAAUGGCGUGUUGGAACUCCAGCAAGCAAAAUAUAUUGCGACUUGUAUUCUAUAAUUCCAGACAUCAUAGCAAACUAACAUAUUAGAUACGUACACUUUCAGUCAUAAGAAACAUUCCAGAAAAAUAAGGUUCUUGCAAUGCAAACUAAUACAAAUUUCAAAACCAAAAACUGUGAUAUGCACCAAUUAUGUAUAAACUAACAAGUUUUGAUUUUGUUCAUCGACAAAACAAACAACCGAAGUUGUUUUCAGCUCCUUUCUUGAUGACUCUAGAAGAAAAUAAGCUCCGCGGUGGACUUUACUUUGCCGGCUCCUAGCCCAUCUCCUUAGCUAUACUUGCAAAAAAAAAAAAAAAAAAAAAAAAAAGAAAUUGAUUCGAAAACUUUGCAUGCAUUUCAACAUUGACAUAUCAUCAAAUAUCAUCAAUACAUAUAUAGAUGAUAGAUUGACUCGUGUGCAGAUACAAUAAGAACAAAAAAAACUUAAGAAAACUAACGAAAAGUCCUCAAAAACUUUAAUUUUAAUGAAAAAGAUAUAAAAGGUGUAAGUGAAUAGCACCAGGAGUCACUUUCAAGGUAAAAAUAUCAUUUUCGUUAAAAGUAAAUAGUAUCGGUAGUGUUUCAUUUAGAUUCCCAAAAAACUUUGUAUGUGCCUAACAAUACACGGGGUUUGUUUCAAGGGAUACUUUGAAUGCGGCCUAUAAUCCUUAACAUUCUUUGAUUAAAAUCUUAAUAAUAUUCAAAGUUUGAUCAAGGUCCAUUGACUUUGUACACCUCAUUAUAAUACUAUUAAUAUUUAUAUUUGGGAAAAUUAGGUUCACAUCCUUCUUUUUGUUACUCCAUUGAUUAAAAUCCUAUUCAUUUUCAAUUUUUUAUCAAGGUCCUUGGGUAUUAAUAACAUCAUUAAUUAUUUGAAUAAUAAAAUAUUUUUAUUUUUAAAUAUAUUCCUUUAAUGUUAAAAAUGUUACAAUUAGUAUAUUUAUAUUUAUGGCUAAAUGUUUUAUCAUAUAUUUUUAUUUUAGUUUGUACCUAUUUUUAAUUUGCAAAUAUUUUUUAAUUUGUACCAAUUUUCUUUUCAUUUUUAAUUUGUACCCAUAUAUUAGUUUCUUUUUGUGCCCAUAUUUUUUAAAAUAUUAUUUGUAUUUGUACCCAUGUGUAUACCGUCACGUGACAUUUAAUCAAGGGAAAAUUAGGUUCACAACCUUCUUUUUGUUAC